ACUUGUUUUACAUCGAAGUUUGAUAUCAUCUACAAAUCUUUCUUCUUCUUUCAUAAUAAUUUUUUUUUAUCGACGAUAACCGUUUCGAUAAUAUUAAUUGUAGCAAGAUAACUUUUUUUAUAUGGAGGUUUGAUAUCAUCUACAGAUUUUUUUUCUUCUUUCAUAAUAACAUUUUUUUAUCGAUGAUAACCGUUUCGAUUAUAUUAAUUAUAGCAAGAUAACUUUUUUUACAUCGAGGUUUGAUAUCAUCAACAGAUUUUUUUUCUUCUUUCAUAAUAACUUUUUUUUAUCAAUGGUAAUCGUUUCGAUUAUAUUAAUUGUAGCAAGAUAAUUUUUUUUACAUGAAGUUCUUCUUUCAUAAUAACUUUUUUUUAUCGAUGGUAAUUAUUUCGAUAAUAUUAAUUGUAGUAAGAUAAAAUUAUUAUUUGUUAUUUGUGUGUGUGUAAUUUUCGACUUCAGACUCUAAAAAGAGAGAUGGCGUCCAAUUUCAUCGCCAAUGGCGACGAUUUGAAAGAAUCUAAAAGAGAGAUGGCGUCCAAUUUCAUCGCCAAUGGCGACGAUUUGAAGGAGGAGGAGCACCACCACCACCACUACAGCCACCAUCAACAAGGGCCGUCGCCGCGGGGCGCAAGGCGGACUUUGUCCACCAACUCCUCCUCCUCUGCUUGCGGCGCCGUGACGGCGAUCCCCAAGUGCGUGUGUGCUCCGACUACGCACGCCGGUUCCUUCAAGUGCCGCCUUCACAGGGCGAACUCCCACGGCCACGCGCCGCCCUCUCCGACCUCGAUCCCUCCCCCUCGGCCUCCCGUGAACUCCUCCACCACCCCCCGACCGUGGAGGCGCAGUAACAGCAACACGACGAAAUGAACCCUAAUAAGGUUCUAUCAGCUUUAAUCGAUGACUACUUGUGGAUCAGGCUGUGAUCGAAGUUCGAAAAUCUAUGAAAUCAUUACACUUUUUUUUUUUUAUUUCUAUUUUCUUUUUUCAACUACUGUUAGAGAUGCUUGUGCUUAGAUUAUGUUAUCUUAGUUGACAAUGAUGUAUCCACUUGCAUCUCACUUUAUUUUAAUUUCUCUCA